rnacentral:rRNA from 1 species
GACGAACGCUGGCGGCGUGCUUAACACGUGCAAGUCGAACGGAAAGGCCCUGCUUUUUUGGGGUGCUCGGGUGGCGAACGGGGGCGUAACACGUGAGUAACCUGCCCUUGACUUUGGGGUAACUUCAGGAAACUGGGCCUACUACCGGAUAGGAGCUCCUGCUCCAUGGUGGGGGUGGGAAAUUUUAGGCGGGUGGGGAUGGACUCGCGGCUUAUCAGCUUGUUGGUGGGGUAGGGGCUUACCAAGGCAUUGACGGGUAGCCGGCCUGAGAGGGUGACCGGCCACAUUGGGACUGAGAUACGGCCCAGACUCCUACGGGAGGCAGCAGUGGGGAAUAUUGCACAAUGGGCGGAAGCCUGAUGCAGCAACGCCGCGUGCGGGAUGACGGCCUUCGGGUUGUAAACCGCUUUCGCCUGUGACGAAGCGUGAGUGACGGUAAUGGGUAAAGAAGCACCGGCUAACUACGUG